CCGUAUCCCAAAAGUUGGUCAGUUCUUCUCUGACCUAGCUGGAUUCUCAGGAUUUUUUUCAAGAUCCCCCAAGAGAACCAGUGUGCUUGACAGAGUGGUGGCACACAGGCUUCCAAGAGCAAGCACAGUAAGGUGGAACUUCCACAGCCGUGCUGUCAACACUGUUGAGCACAAAGACGACCUCCUUCAGUGCUUCGAAACCAUCAGGGACUCAGGUGACUUUGAUCCUACCACUGUCCGUGAAGCUGGAGGUUUUGUGAGACUCCUGGAGGAUGCUACCUUCUGCUUCUUCCUGGAGCUUUUCCACCGCAUCAUGCCUCAUGUGGACAUGCUCUACAGCCAACUCCAGAAGAGGUCCAUCGAUUCGGUCUUUGUCCACAGAGUGACGCAGCAUUUCACCGACAACAUGCAGAUGAUCAGAGACUCCCUCCCUACUGUCAGUGAAGAACAUCACAGCUGUUGUGCCUCAGCAGCAGCUGGCCAAGAAGCGCCGCACACUGGGACCAGAUGAACUACAGAGGAUAGCUACAGAGGUUUGUGACACAAUCCUGGGCCAUGCAAAAGAGAGGUUUGCCUUCACCAAACACCUAAUCAGUGCUACACUGCC